GCUCUGGUUGGUGAUGUACUUUGACAUUGGUGCUACUUCCUCAUUCUGAGCGAAGCUGUCCACGAACCAGUCUCAUCAUUUGUAAUGUUUUGCAGUAGCCUCGUGAGUCUCCUUUUGAAGUGGAAGAUGGCUGAUCAUUGUUACUCAGGGAGGUUUAGUGAAUGUUUCUAGGAUACUGUUAUCUGUUGACGUGGUCCUAAUUCGGGACCUGUUACACUACCAACUCCCACCUGACACUAUGGAAAUCACACAUACACAUUUCUCAGGAGCAGCAAAUGCAGGGUCAACCACAGUGCAACGCUCCAGGAGCGGUUGAGGGGUUAAGUGCCUCGAUCAAGGACACAACAUUAGGGAAUUGUAGCUGUGACCUGAAACCAGCAGUCUUCCAGUUGUCAGUUUAGUUCCAGAUUUUCAUCACCAGAACCGAGACUUGAAUCAAUGACUUUCUGAGCCACGUAUUGUUUCCUUGUAUCAGGCUUUACAAUCAGAUAAGUGAAGUAAUAUGUAAUUGCAAUGGAUUUAAUGGAAUAUGGAUUCAUUUGCUGAUAUGAUCAUACUGUCAAUGCGAGUAAUGGACUCUCUUGCUUGGAUAAAAAUAAAAGAAACCAUAACAAAUGCAAAAGUUCACAUGUAUUAUAAUGAAUUCAAACAACAUACUUGAGGCUAGCUGGUCACAGAGAGGAGGAUAUGCCUGUCAACAAAUGUUCAAAUGACUAGAAGGAAUCACCAAUAUAAAGAGUCUGUUUUAUCAUUGUAUGUGACAAAAUAAUUUGAGUUUAGGCACAAUCGACUAUUGGAGCAGGGACAAAUAGAUGCACAACUAACCUGACAGCUCAAAUGUUAUGAGAUACUAAUGACAGUUGAAAAGACUUGUUAGAAUAUGUUGGUGUCCGUGGUUUCCCCUAGGUAUAGAAUCAGCUUCCCCUUUCCUAAAACUAAUCUGCCAUUACUACAUCCAUUUUAAAACUUUUAAAUCAUAAUGUUUUGCAAAUGUAUUAAAAAAACUAAACAGAAAUACUUUAUUUACAUAAGUAUUCAGACCCUUUGCUAUGAGACUCGAAAUUGAGCUCAGGUACAUCCUGUUUCCAUUGAUCAUCCUUGAAAUGUUUCUACAACUUGAUUGGAGUCCACCUGUGGUAAAUUCAAUUGAUUGGACAUGAUUUGGAAAGGCACACACAUGUCUAUAUACAGUUGUGGCCACAGGUUUUGAGAAUGACACAAAUACACAUUUCCACAAAGUUAGCUGCUUCAGUGUCUUUAGAUAUUUUUGUCAGAUGUUACCAUGGAAUACUGAAGUAUAGUUACAAACAUUUCA